rnacentral:rRNA from 1 species
GUCAGGUAGUAAGGGCGCAGGGCGGAUGCCUUGGCUCUGGGAAGCGAAGAAGGACGUGGCCAGCUGCGAUAAGCCUCGGGGAAGAGCAAACAUCUUUUGAUCCGGGGAUUUCCGAAUGGGGUAACCCGCAUGGCUGUUGAGGCCAUGCACUGUUGAGUGAAUACAUAGCUCAUCAGGGCGAACUUGGGGAACUGAAACAUCUCAGUACCCAAAGGAAUAGAAAUCAACCGAGAUUCUGCUAGUAGCGGCGAGCGAACGCGGAAGAGCCCAAACCACCGGGUACGCCCGGUUGGGGUUGUAGGGCCGCCAACAAAGGAUAAUUGGAGGAUUAGCUGAAGUGUCUGGGAAGGCACGGCAUAGAGGGUUAGACCCCCGUAAGCGAAAGUCUGAAGAUGUCCGAGGCGGUACCUGAGUAGGACGGGACACGAGAAAUCCUGUUUGAAUCUGGGGGGACCACCCUCCAAGGCUAAAUAUUACCCAGAGACCGAUAGUGUACCAGUACCGUGAGGGAAAGGUGAAAAGAACCUCGAACAGAGGAGUGAAAUAGUUCCUGAAACCCUGCGUCUACAAGCAGUGGAAGCAAUGCUGAUCUUCGGAUCACGUGCGACCGCGUGCCUUUUGCAUAAUGAGCCAACGAGUUGUCUGUCGGUGGCAGGUUAAGUUUAUAACGAAGCCACAGCGAAAGCGAGUUCGAAAUGAGCGUUCAGUCCCCGGCAACAGACCCGAAACCGAGUGAUCUACCCCUGUCCAGGUUGAAGCCUGGGUAAGACCAGGUGGAAGACCGAACCGUUGAGCCUUAAAACGUUCUCGGAUGAGGUGGGGGUAGGAGUGAAAGGCUAAUCAAACUCGGAGAUAGCUGGUUCUCCCCGAAAUAUAUUGAGGUAUAGCCUCGUGAUAGACCGCCGGAGGUAGAGCACUGGAUGGACUAGGGCCCUCACCAGGGUACCAAACCCAACCAAACUGCGAAUACCGGCGAGUUGUUUCACGGGAGUCAGACAGCGGGAGCUAACUUUCGUUGUCGAAAGGGAAACAACCCAGACCAUCAGCUAAGGCCCCCAAGUCAUGACUAAGUGGGAAAGGAAGUGGGAGCGCCCAGACAACCAGGAGGUUGGCUUAGAAGCAGCCACCCUUUAAAGAAAGCGUAACAGCUCACUGGUCGAGCGAGCCUGCACCGAAAAUUUAACGGGGCUCAAGUCAUGCGCCGAAGCUAUGGGAUUUAUAUUUAUAUAAAUCGGUAGGGGAGCGUUCCCUGUGCAGUGAAGCUGAAUCGAGAGGGUCAGUGGAGCGCAGGGAAGUGAGGAUGUUGGCAUAAGUAACGAAAAUGUGGGCGAGAAACCCACACGCCGAAAGCCCAAGGUUUCCCGGGCCAUGUUAUUCAGCCCGGGGUUAGUCGGCACCUAAGACGAGGCCGAAAGGCGUAGUCGACGGAAAACCGGUUCAUAUUCCGGUACUUGCAUGUGCGCGUGAUGGAGGGACGCAGGAGGAUAGGCCGGCCUGGUGAUGGAUAUCCAGGUUCAAGGCCGUAGGCGGAAGUCUCAGGUAAAUCCGGGACUUUAUCUAACGCCGAGAGUCGAUGACGAGAGGCUUUGCUUCGCAAAGCGGUCGAUUCCACACUGCCAAGAAAAGCUUCUAAGCAUAGCAGAUGCAAACCGUACCCCAAACCGACACAGGUGGGCGGGUAGAGAAUACCAAGGCGCUUGAGGGAAAUCAUGUUAAGGAACUCUGCAAAAUAACUCCGUAACUUCGGAAGAAGGAGUGCCUGCAGCGGUGAAGGGACUUGCUCCUGGAGCUUAAGCGGGCCGCAGUGACCAGGCCCAGCCGACUGUUUAGCAAAAACACAGCACUCUGCUAAAUCGCAAGAUGAUGUAUAGGGUGUGACGCCUGCCCGGUGCCGGAAGGUUAAUGGGAGGGGUUACCCCGCUUCUAAAUGGUUUUUUGAUUAAAAACGCAUAUGCAUUAUGUUUAUAUCAUACAUAGUGAUAAUGACCAGUUCUACAUUGGUUAUAGUUCUGAUUUAAGAGCAAGGAUAACUGCUCAUAAUGAAGGACAAACCAAGUCAACAAGAGGACGAAUAUGGAAAUUGGUUUACUAUGAAGCAUAUCUGGAUGAGAAAAGUGCUCGUCACAGAGAGAGGAUGUUAAAACAUGAUGGUCGCACUCGUCGAUAUUUGAUGGAGCGAGUUAAAGAAAGCGUAAAGAAUCAUUUAGUAGCGGGGGAAGCUCCGAACUGAAGCCCCGGUAAACGGCGGCCGUAACUAUAACGGUCCUAAGGUAGCGAAAUUCCUUGUCGGGUAAGUUCCGACCUGCACGAAUGGCGUAACGAUCUGGGCGCUGUCUCAAUGUGAUUCUCAGUGAAAUUGAAAUGGCGGUGAAGAUACCGUCAACCCGCGGCAAGACGGAAAGACCCCGUGCACCUUUACUGCAGCUUGGCAGUGAACUUGGGAGAGAUUUGUGUAGGAUAGGUGGGAGGCUGCGAAGGGGGGGCGCUAGUCCCUCUGGAGCCACCCUUGAAAUACCACCCUGAUUUUUUCUGUGUUCUAACUUAGUCCCGUUAUCCGGGACAAGGACCCUGUCUGGUGGGCAGUUUGACUGGGGCGGUCGCCUCCCAAAGAGUAACGGAGGCGCGCAAUGGUUCCCUCAGCCGGUUUGGAAAUCCGGCGCAGAGUGCAAAGGCACAAGGGAGCUUGACUGCAAGAGCGACAGCUCGAGCAGGUACGAAAGUAGGUCUUAGUGAUCCGGUGGCCCCGUGUGGAAGGACCAUCGCUCAACGGAUAAAAGGUACGCCGGGGAUAACAGGCUAAUCGCGCCCAAGAGUUCAUAUCGACGGCGCGGUUUGGCACCUCGAUGUCGGCUCAUCGCAUCCUGGGGCUGAAGCAGGUCCCAAGGGUAUGGCUGUUCGCCAUUUAAAGCGGUACGCGAGCUGGGUUCAGAACGUCGUGAGACAGUUCGGUCCCUAUCUGCCGCGGGCGCAGGAGAUCUGAGGAGGUCUGCCCUUAGUACGAGAGGACCGGGGUGGACAGACCUCUGGUGAUCCGGUUGUUCCGCCAGGAGCAUUGCCGGGUAGCUACGUCUGGAACGGAUAACCGCUGAAAGCAUCUAAGCGGGAAGCCGGCUCCAAGAGCGAUCUCCCGGACCAUUAGGUCCCCAAAGGCCGCAGGAAGAUUACCUGUUUGAUAGGCCGGAAGUGGAAGCAUGGCAACAUGUGAAGCUGACUGGUACUAAUUGGCCGGGCGGCCUGACUUA